rnacentral:rRNA from 1 species
GACGAACGCUGGCGGCGUGCUUAACACAUGCAAGUCGAACGGAAAGGCCUCUUUCGGGGGGUACUCGAGUGGCGAACGGGUGAGUAACACGUGAGUAACCUGCCCUUGACUUUGGGAUAACUUCAGGAAACUGGGGCUAAUACCGGAUAGGAGCUCCUGCCGCAUGGUGGGGGUUGGAAAGUUUCGGCGGUUGGGGAUGGACUCGCGGCUUAUCAGCUUGUUGGUGGGGUAGUGGCUUACCAAGGCUUUGACGGGUAGCCGGCCUGAGAGGGUGACCGGCCACAUUGGGACUGAGAUACGGCCCAGACUCCUACGGGAGGCAGCAGUGGGGAAUAUUGCACAAUGGGUGGAAGCCUGAUGCAGCAACGCCGUGUGCGGGAUGACGGCCUUCGGGUUGUAAACCGCUUUCGCUCAUGACGAAGCUUUGUGUGACGGUAGUGGGUAAAGAAGCACCGGCUAACUACGUG